CCCGCCAUGUCGAAUAGAAACAUCUUUCCAGUUCCCUGUAUUAAACUUUUCCCACAAAUAAUCUAAUAAUGGUUUGGAUUUUUCAAUACAUUGACUAUAAUCUCCAUCAUAAAAUCUUUCACAACAGGAUUUUUGAAGAUAUAAAUAUGAAGACGGUAAAUCGUCUAUUAACUCUAUGGAAACAGCUAUAUCUUUUGCCGUAUCGUAAGUGCUUUAAAUCGUGUCUUUAGAUCAUCCAUAUCUUUAAAA
rnacentral:lncRNA from 1 species